UGAGGAAUAUUGGUCAAUGGACGAGAGUCUGAACCAGCCAAGUAGCGUGCAGGAUGACGGCCCUAUGGGUUGUAAACUGCUUUUGUUUGGGAAUAAUCGACAUUACGUGUAAUGUUUUGCAUGUACCAUUCGAAUAAGGACCGGCUAAUUCCGUGCCAGCAGCCGCGGUAAUACGGAAGGUCCAGGCGUUAUCCGGAUUUAUUGGGUUUAAAGGGAGUGUAGGCGGUUGGUUAAGCGUGUUGUGAAAUGUAGAUGCUCAACAUCUGACUUGCAGCGCAAACUGGCUGACUUGAGUACACACAACGUAGGCGGAAUUCAUGGUGUAGCGGUGAAAUGCUUAGAUAUCAUGAAGAACUCCGAUUGCGAAGGCAGCUUACGGGAGUGUUACUGACGCUUAAGCUCGAAGGUGCGGGUAUCGAACAGG
rnacentral:rRNA from 1 species